rnacentral:rRNA from 1 species
GAUGAACGCUGGCGGCGUGCCUAAUACAUGCCAGUAGAACGCUGAAGGAAGGAGCUUGCUCUUUCCGGAUGAGUUGCGAACGGGUGAGUAACGCGUAGGUAACCUGCCUGGUAGCGGGGGAUAACUAUUGGAAACGAUAGCUAAUACCGCAUAACAGUAGAUGUUGCAUGAUAUCUACUUAAAAGGUGCAAUUGCACCACUACCAGAUGGACCUGCGUUGUAUUAGCUAGUUGGUGAGGUAACGGCUCACCAAGGCGACGAUACAUAGCCGACCUGAGAGGGUGGUCGGCCACCCUGGGACUGAGACACGGCCCAGACUCCUACGGGAGGCAGCAGUAGGGAAUCGUCGGCAAUGGACGGAAGUCUGACCGAGCAACGCCGCGUGAGUGAAGAAGGUUUUCGGAUCGUAAAGCUCUGUUGUAAGAGAAGAACGAGUGUGAGAGUGGAAAGUUCACACUGUGACGGUAUCUUACCAGAAAGGGACGGCUAACUACGUG